AGAGAGCGAGAAAGAGACCGAGAGAGAGAAAGAAACCGAGAGAGAGUGGUGAUUUCAUUUUGCUGCGAGGGGAAAGAAGAUCUGUGUCGAAUCUGUCUGCAAGAUUCAGAUCGGUGGAGAGAAAGCGUUUUGUAUCGAAGGUAACCUAAGGGACGUGAGAGUUUAAACGAACACCCCCUGAAAAACUAGAACAGGGACUGUGUUUGAAUUAAGUUGGCCAGUUUACUUAUCAAGGAAAGGAUCGAUCAAGGUAAUACUAGAAACUCGAAGUUCUAUAUCUGUUCUGAUAUCUUUUAGCAAGCAUGUUAGACCUUUAAUAGAGUGUUUUUCUAUCUUGGCAAACUUUGUCCUUAAAGUUACCUCCUUGAAUAUUGUAUAUAAUAUACUGAAUUUGUAGUGAUUCAAAAUCUUCAAUGAUAGGUAAAUUCCUUCUGUGAAGAAUGAAGAAUAGGUGUUCUUUUUUGUUGUUUCGUGUCUAAAUUACAUUGUGUUUUAA